AUGGAGGCUCGUCAAGCCACAGUUACAGCUCAUCAACAGGGAAUCAGCGUAUCGAGUCAUGGUGGUCCUUUUUCAGAAGAGGAAGGUGUUGAUGGUCAGACUCUGACACAAUCUGCACCAGUGGUUAAAAGGCCUGGAGAAUCCCACAGACUGACCUGUUAUGCCUAUGGGUUUACAAUGAGCAGCUAUGAUAUGAACUGGGUCAGACAGGCUCCUGGAAAAGGACUGGAGUGGAUCGCCUGGGUUGAGAGUGAUAAUGACAGAAAAUACUACUCUCAGUCAGUUACAGGCCGGUUCACCGCCUCCAGAGACAACAGCAGACAGCAGGUGUAUCUGCAGAUGAACAGUCUGAAGACUGAAGAUUCUGCUGUUUAUUAUUGUGCCAGAGACACACAGUGA